rnacentral:rRNA from 1 species
GUGGGGAAUAUUGGACAAUGGGCGCAAGCCUGAUCCAGCCAUGCCGCGUGAGUGAUGAAGGCCCUAGGGUUGUAAAGCUCUUUCACCGGUGAAGAUAAUGACGGUAACCGGAGAAGAAGCCCCGGCUAACUUCGUGCCAGCAGCCGCGGUAAUACGAAGGGGGCUAGCGUUGUUCGGAAUUACUGGGCGUAAAGCGCACGUAGGCGGAUAUUUAAGUUAGGGGUGAAAUCCCAGGGCUCAACCCUGGAACUGCCUCUAAUACUGGGUAUCUCGAGUCCGAGAGAGGUGAGUGGAAUUCCGAGUGUAGAGGUGAAAUUCGUAGAUAUUCGGAGGAACACCAGUGGCGAAGGCGGCUCACUGGCUCGGUACUGACGCUGAGGUGCGAAAGCGUGGGGAGCAAACAGGAUUAGAAACCCCGGUAGUCC